GGGCCCAUAGCUCAGCCUGGUUAGAGCGCUGGUCUUAUAAGCCAGAGGUUUGGCUAAAGGUCGGGAGUUCAAAUCUCCUUGGGCCCA
rnacentral:tRNA from 1 species